rnacentral:lncRNA from 1 species
CCCUUAUUCCUAAACUGUUAGGACCAAAACUCCCAAAAUCAAACCCAACCUUCCUUUUAUGGUCAUAAACCUUGUGUUUAAAUUUCAUAGAUUUCUAUUUACUUAUACUAAAAUUAUUGUGCGAAAACCAAGAAUAAUGCUUAUUUGGGCCCCUUUUUGGCCCCUAAUUCAUAAACUGUUGUGACCUCAACUCCCAAAAUCAAUCCCAACCUUCCUUUUGUGGUCAUAAACCUUGUGUCAAAAUUUCAUAGAUUUCUAUUCACUUAAACUAAAGUUAUAGUGCGAAAACCAAGAAAAUGCUUAUUUGGGCCCUUUUUGGCCCUUAAUUCCUAAAAUGUUGGGACCAAAACUCUCAAAAUCAAUCCCAACCUUCCUUUUGUGGUCAUAAACCUUGUGUUAAAAUUUCAUUGAUUUCUAUUCACUUUUACUAAAGUUAGAGUGCGAAAACUAAAAGUAUUCGGACGACGACGACGACGACGACGACGCCAACGUGAUAGCAAUAUACGACCAAAAAUUUUUGCGGUCGUAUAAAAAAUGAGAAGAUUUAUUAUAACUAUUGACAUAUUACUACCAAAUAUAAAAUUGAUUCUUGGGUUUUUGCACAUACUUUGUAAAUCUAUUUUAGUUGGUGUUAAACCGGGAAAAUGAAACAUUUUUACAAAAUAUACAAUUUUGUCAUGUUUCUAUUUUGUCAAUAUAACUCGUUAAAUUGCUCUUUAUUUUAUAAAAUUGUUGUACCUUAGUGUAGUUAGGGAAUAAUUACUUUUAAAUUUGCACAAACAUUUGAGCUAGGUAUUGGCCUUACUGUCCCUACUCUUUUCUUCGAUUGAGCCAUGAUUAAAUACAAUGUAUUACUAUUUGUCCAACAUAACUGGCAAUCACAGACCAUGGUAUUCCAGUAAAUUUUACAUAAUAAUAGAAAAUGUCUGAUGCAACAAUACAAAAGUCAUUGUUGUAUGACAUCAAUAGUUCAGGUCUCCCAGAAUGGGGAGUCAAGUAGCAAUUAUUUGAAAUCUUUCACGACUAUAACAAAAAUAACAAUCACGUAAAACAUGUACAUACUAGCUUUUCUCUCUUUGUCUUUAUCUAACCCUGAGAUUUAAAAAUGUAUGUUCCUAAGGAGUUUUCAUUCCACAUUGGCAACUGGUAAAGUGGAGCAUCAAUCCAGGAAAAAAAUCAAUUUAGUUUAACGAAAAAACUUCAUUGUAUCUCAUGGAUUAGUGAACAGUAAAUUCAGGUUCAAAAUUGUAUUUAGAAUAUAAUUGAAAACAUCCAUUUUAUAAUGAACAUGUGAACCAAGUUUCAGGUUGUUCAUGUUGUUUAUAGUUUAACUCUGUGGCCAAAACUUGAAUAUAUGGACAGAAAUGGAGAUUGAAAAACACACAGAUUUGGAAGCCACAGUGGAUUUGACAUGUAUUUAUUUUAAUUAUAUAAGUAAAAUAGUUAAAUUCUCUUGUUAUUUAUUGAUAUUUUAUUGAAAACACUGUUUUAACCACUGCUUACAGUGUUACAUUGUGCGUUUUUCAUACUCUUUUCUACUUUUCAUAAAAGAAUACUGUAAUUUUAUUGAUAACGGAAAUCUCUUGGUCUUUUAGAUUCAAAAUACUGCUCAUUUACAAAUCUCUGGAUCUCUAAGGAGCAAUUUUUUUAGGCCUUGCGCUGGUUACCAUCGUUACAUAACAUGUGUGCGUAGUAAUUCUUAUUUUUAUAGAUUUAAAUGUUAUAAGAAGGUUGAACUCUAUAAAAAAAGCAUUAGAAAACCAGAAAAAAAAUGUUUUUAAAAAAUGUUGAAAUGUCAAAACUUGAGAAUAAAAGUGGAUAAAUCAUUUUUAAGACUAUCAAGGGAGACAAUUCAAACCUUGAAAAGAUAAUUAAUAUCUUUCAAAUUGCUUGUACAAUUGCAAGUUAAUAUUAUUCUAGUAAAUAAACAUGACUUGUGAAAAUAUUACCUCUGACUUCACUAUAGACUAUCAUAGGCAGGCAAUACAAGAAAAAAAAAUAUUGCCUAAUUUGGGAUCUUUAUUCUGAUUCAUUAAAAAAUUAUUAACAGGAAUUUCAUCAGCAAAUAAUGCUAAAAAUAAAGGUUCUUCUAACUUGAUAUAAAGACAAACCUGUUCACUAAAAGAGACGUCAGUUUUCAAAAGAAAAAAAAAGAAAAUAUACCAACAAUACCUGUGCUUUGCCAAUGUAUCAUAAGGACUAUUGUUUGAGACUAUAUGUUCAAGAAUCACUUUUUAACUGAGAUAAUAUUAUCAAGAAAUGCAUUUUACUUUCUUGACAAGUCUAGAUGUUGUUUUUUAGUUUCACAUCUUCCUCUAUCUAUAUUUAUAAACAAUAACAUUUUUUUAUGUAGGAUAGAGAAAUGAACUAAACUAUCAAAUGAAGGGAAGUUACUCUGAAAAAAAAUAUUAGUUUUACAUGACUGUACAAAUUAAUGCUUUUUAUUCUCAUGUCUCAGUUACACAAUCGUUUAUGUAAAUUUGUGCUACUAUGGAUUCAUCAUUAUUUGUUGGAUACCAAUUUUUUGUGGAUUUCAUGGCUACAGUUCAAGAAAGAAAUUAAAUGUUCAAUGUAUCAACAAUUUUCUUAAAGCUUGUAUUACCAAUGUUAUUUCAACUGAUCGGGCGGAGCUUACGUUUUAAUUUACACAAGGACAGUCUAUUUGAAGAUGUGUGUGAUAAGGAUAAUUGCCAUUAUAAUAUUACUGAUUUCUAAUCACCUAUCAGUGUCACCAAAGGAACUUACAAAAGAAUUACUGGAUACCUCAUUGAUGAGUUUAUCCUAAAACACCUAUCUAUAGAUGGACAGGUUUAGUAUGAGAGAACCGGUUAAACUCUGCCCAGUCAAGUGAAAUAAAUCGAGUAAUAUGCAGACUUUAUCAUACAACAAAAUUAAAUAUC